rnacentral:rRNA from 1 species
AUUGAACGCUGGCGGCAGGCCUAACACAUGCAAGUCGAGCGGAUGAAGGGAGCUUGCUCCUGGAUUCAGCGGCGGACGGGUGAGUAAUGCCUAGGAAUCUGCCUGGUAGUGGGGGAUAACGUCCGGAAACGGGCGCUAAUACCGCAUACGUCCUGAGGGAGAAAGUGGGGGAUCUUCGGACCUCACGCUAUCAGAUGAGCCUAGGUCGGAUUAGCUAGUUGGUGGGGUAAAGGCCUACCAAGGCUACGAUCCGUAACUGGUCUGAGAGGAUGAUCAGUCACACUGGAACUGAGACACGGUCCAGACUCCUACGGGAGGCAGCAGUGGGGAAUAUUGGACAAUGGGCGAAAGCCUGAUCCAGCCAUGCCGCGUGUGUGAAGAAGGUCUUCGGAUUGUAAAGCACUUUAAGUUGGGAGGAAGGGCAGUAAGUUAAUACCUUGCUGUUUUGACGUUACCAACAGAAUAAGCACCGGCUAACUUCGUG